CAGCAGCCACGGGAAUACGUAGGUGGCAAGCGUUGUCCGGAAUUAUUGGGCGUAAAGGGCUCGCAGGCGGUUUCUUAAGUCUGAUGUGAAAGCCCCCGGCUCAACCGGGGAGGGUCAUUGGAAACUGGGAAACUUGAGUGCAGAAGAGGAGAGUGGAAUUCCACGUGUAGCGGUGAAAUGCGUAGAGAUGUGGAGGAACACCAGUGGCGAAGGCGACUCUCUGGUCUGUAACUGACGCUGAGGAGCGAAAGCGUGGGGAGCGAACAGGAUUAGAUACCCGCGUAGUCUCUGUCUCUUAUAU
rnacentral:rRNA from 1 species